ACUAUCACCGUUCUGAAUGCCUACGUUUCCUCCAGCCUACGUGAAGAAAAGAGAAGCAAAAAUGGCGCUCUCCAGGCUUAGCACGCUCGUAGUCAGACGAUCAUUUGGAACUUCUGCGAGGAGAUUUGGCGCUCAUUAUGGAGAAGGACCUGGAAGUAAUGUGCCAUUUCAAACCCAGAAUAAGUGGCGGUUACUGGCUGUAAUGACAACGUUUUUUGGUGUUGGCUUCACUGCACCCUUCCUUUUGGUAGCCCAUCAAAUGAAGAAGAAAUAAACUUCAUCACGCACGACCUCAGGAGAUUGUAAGAUACGACAAAAUGACCCGAUGUGCUUCAAGUUCAGGAUGCCUCGUCCGAGAUUACGCCCUCUCAAUGAUGUCUUUCACCCCUGUCUCUCAGUGUCUCUCAAGAUUCCUGUUUUCCCCAAGUCUGCGCAACCCAUCUCUACACCCCAAUCACGCCCCAAGUCUGCACAGCCCAUCUCUACACCCAAUCACGGAAUAAAAAGAGAGAGACAACCACUUACAGAUUGAGAGCGCCACUUUAUUUUUUACCUCCAUGACGUCCAAUGACAUGACUCAAACAUUAAUUUAGCACAUUAUAGCUAAUUACAGUGACAUUUUCAUUUCAAAUGUAGCUAGCUGUACAUUUAUGUAAAACUCAGCGUUGUUAAACAUUACUUAUUGUUGUAAAAUAACUUCUUUUACAUGAAGUGUUUAUUGACAUUUGAAAAGAAAUGGAUUAUAGGUUUGAUUAAAGUUAUUCACACUAUUGUGAGUAAAUAUCUUAUUUCAGAGAGAAAUCAUGUUGCAUUUUAUUCAUAUGAGAACUAGAAAAGUUGCAUUGCUAUAAAAAUACAUCCAUAUUAGAAUGAAUUGUGCAGUGAAUGCAUGAGGUUAGUCUUUG